GGUUAAGUUAGAAAGGGCGCACGGUGGAUGCCUUGGCACUAGGAGCCGAAGAAGGACGGGACUAACACCGAUAUGCUUUGGGGAGCUGUACGUAAGCGUUGAUCCAGAGAUUUCCGAAUGGGGGAACCCACUAUCUUUAGUCGGAUAGUAUCCUUACGUGAAUACAUAGCGUGAGGAAGGCAGACCCAGGGAACUGAAACAUCUAAGUACCUGGAGGAAGAGAAAGAAAAAUCGAUUUCCUGAGUAGCGGCGAGCGAAACGGAAAGAGCCCAAACCAAGAAGCUUGCUUCUUGGGGUUGUAGGACACUCUAUACGGAGUUACAAAAGAAAGUUAUAAAUGAAGCGGUCUGGAAAGGCCCGCCAAAGACGGUAACAGCCCGGUAGUUGAAAUAGCUUUCCCUCCAGAGUGGAUCCUGAGUACGGCGGAACACGUGAAAUUCCGUCGGAAUCCGGGAGGACCAUCUCCCAAGGCUAAAUACUCC
rnacentral:rRNA from 1 species